AACUUGACCAAUGACUGGGAAGAUCACUUGGCAGUGAAGCAUUUUUCAGUUGAAGGACAGUUGGAAUUCAGAGCCCUUCUAUUUGUCCCAUGACGUGCUCCUUUUGACCUGUUUGAAAACAGAAAGAAAAAGAACAACAUCAAAUUGUAUGUACGCAGAGAUUUCAUCAUGGAUAACUGUGAGGAGCUAAUCCCUGAAUAUCUGAACUUCAUUAGAGGGGUGGUAGACUCGGAGGAUCUCCCUCUAAACAUAUCUAUUAUAUCACAGGUGAGACCAAGGACCAGGUAGCUAACUCAGCCUUUGUGGAACGUCUUGGGAAACAUGGCUUAGAAGUGAUCUAUAUGAUUGAGCCCAUUGAUGAGU
rnacentral:lncRNA from 1 species